rnacentral:rRNA from 1 species
GGUUAAGUGACUAAGCGUACACGGUGGAUGCCCUGGCAGUCAGAGGCGAUGAAGGACGUGCUAAUCUGCGAUAAGCGUCGGUAAGGUGAUAUGAACCGUUAUAACCGGCGAUUUCCGAAUGGGGAAACCCAGUGUGAUUCGUCACACUAUCAUUAACUGAAUCCAUAGGUUAAUGAGGCGAACCGGGGGAACUGAAACAUCUAAGUACCCCGAGGAAAAGAAAUCAACCGAGAUUCCCCCAGUAGCGGCGAGCGAACGGGGAGCAGCCCAGAGCCUGAAUCAGUGUGUGUGUUAGUGGAAGCGUCUGGAAAGGCGCGCGAUACAGGGUGACAGCCCCGUACACAAAAAUACACAUACUGUGAGCUCGAUGAGUAGGGCGGGACACGUGGUAUCCUGUCUGAAUAUGGGGGGACCAUCCUCCAAGGCUAAAUACUCCUGACUGACCGAUAGUGAACCAGUACCGUGAGGGAAAGGCGAAAAGAACCCCGGCGAGGGGAGUGAAAAAGAACCUGAAACCGUGUACGUACAAGCAGUGGGAGCACGCUUAGGCGUGUGACUGCGUACCUUUUGUAUAAUGGGUCAGCGACUUAUAUUCUGUAGCAAGGUUAACCGAAUAGGGGAGCCGAAGGGAAACCGAGUCUUAACUGGGCGUUAAGUUGCAGGGUAUAGACCCGAAACCCGGUGAUCUAGCCAUGGGCAGGUUGAAGGUUGGGUAACACUAACUGGAGGACCGAACCGACUAAUGUUGAAAAAUUAGCGGAUGACUUGUGGCUGGGGGUGAAAGGCCAAUCAAACCGGGAGAUAGCUGGUUCUCCCCGAAAGCUAUUUAGGUAGCGCCUCGUGAAUUCAUCUCCGGGGGUAGAGCACUGUUUCGGCAAGGGGGUCAUCCCGACUUACCAACCCGAUGCAAACUGCGAAUACCGGAGAAUGUUAUCACGGGAGACACACGGCGGGUGCUAACGUCCGUCGUGAAGAGGGAAACAACCCAGACCGCCAGCUAAGGUCCCAAAGUCAUGGUUAAGUGGGAAACGAUGUGGGAAGGCCCAGACAGCCAGGAUGUUGGCUUAGAAGCAGCCAUCAUUUAAAGAAAGCGUAAUAGCUCACUGGUCGAGUCGGCCUGCGCGGAAGAUGUAACGGGGCUAAACCAUGCACCGAAGCUGCGGCAGCGACGCUUAUGCGUUGUUGGGUAGGGGAGCGUUCUGUAAGCCUGCGAAGGUGUGCUGUGAGGCAUGCUGGAGGUAUCAGAAGUGCGAAUGCUGACAUAAGUAACGAUAAAGCGGGUGAAAAGCCCGCUCGCCGGAAGACCAAGGGUUCCUGUCCAACGUUAAUCGGGGCAGGGUGAGUCGACCCCUAAGGCGAGGCCGAAAGGCGUAGUCGAUGGGAAACAGGUUAAUAUUCCUGUACUUGGUGUUACUGCGAAGGGGGGACGGAGAAGGCUAUGUUGGCCGGGCGACGGUUGUCCCGGUUUAAGCGUGUAGGCUGGUUUUCCAGGCAAAUCCGGAAAAUCAAGGCUGAGGCGUGAUGACGAGGCACUACGGUGCUGAAGCAACAAAUGCCAUGCUUCCAGGAAAAGCCUCUAAGCAUCAGGUAACAUCAAAUCGUACCCCAAACCGACACAGGUGGUCAGGUAGAGAAUACCAAGGCGCUUGAGAGAACUCGGGUGAAGGAACUAGGCAAAAUGGUGCCGUAACUUCGGGAGAAGGCACGCUGAUAUGUAGGUGAAGCGACUUGCUCGUGGAGCUGAAAUCAGUCGAAGAUACCAGCUGGCUGCAACUGUUUAUUAAAAACACAGCACUGUGCAAACACGAAAGUGGACGUAUACGGUGUGACGCCUGCCCGGUGCCGGAAGGUUAAUUGAUGGGGUCAGCGCAAGCGAAGCUCUUGAUCGAAGCCCCGGUAAACGGCGGCCGUAACUAUAACGGUCCUAAGGUAGCGAAAUUCCUUGUCGGGUAAGUUCCGACCUGCACGAAUGGCGUAAUGAUGGCCAGGCUGUCUCCACCCGAGACUCAGUGAAAUUGAACUCGCUGUGAAGAUGCAGUGUACCCGCGGCAAGACGGAAAGACCCCGUGAACCUUUACUAUAGCUUGACACUGAACAUUGAGCCUUGAUGUGUAGGAUAGGUGGGAGGCUUUGAAGUGUGGACGCCAGUCUGCAUGGAGCCGACCUUGAAAUACCACCCUUUAAUGUUUGAUGUUCUAACGUUGACCCGUAAUCCGGGUUGCGGACAGUGUCUGGUGGGUAGUUUGACUGGGGCGGUCUCCUCCUAAAGAGUAACGGAGGAGCACGAAGGUUGGCUAAUCCUGGUCGGACAUCAGGAGGUUAGUGCAAUGGCAUAAGCCAGCUUGACUGCGAGCGUGACGGCGCGAGCAGGUGCGAAAGCAGGUCAUAGUGAUCCGGUGGUUCUGAAUGGAAGGGCCAUCGCUCAACGGAUAAAAGGUACUCCGGGGAUAACAGGCUGAUACCGCCCAAGAGUUCAUAUCGACGGCGGUGUUUGGCACCUCGAUGUCGGCUCAUCACAUCCUGGGGCUGAAGUAGGUCCCAAGGGUAUGGCUGUUCGCCAUUUAAAGUGGUACGCGAGCUGGGUUUAGAACGUCGUGAGACAGUUCGGUCCCUAUCUGCCGUGGGCGCUGGAGAACUGAGGGGGGCUGCUCCUAGUACGAGAGGACCGGAGUGGACGCAUCACUGGUGUUCGGGUUGUCAUGCCAAUGGCACUGCCCGGUAGCUAAAUGCGGAAGAGAUAAGUGCUGAAAGCAUCUAAGCACGAAACUUGCCCCGAGAUGAGUUCUCCCUGACUCCUUGAGAGUCCUGAAGGAACGUUGAAGACGACGACGUUGAU